rnacentral:rRNA from 1 species
GGUUGGAACGAACCUCCGUGCGGGGGAGGGCGAGGGCGCGCCCGAGGCCUCCCCCGAGAACAAAACCCCGGCGCCCCAGGCGCCAAGGAAACGAAACAGAGCAGGGCACGCCCGCCGCCGGUCGCCCGGGGCGGGGUCCCAUGCCGGAUUGCAUCCGAAACGACUCUCGGCAACGGAUAUCUCGGCUCUCGCAUCGAUGAAGAACGUAGCGAAAUGCGAUACUUGGUGUGAAUUGCAGAAUCCCGUGAACCAUCGAGUCUUUGAACGCAAGUUGCGCCCGAAGCCGCUAGGCCGAGGGCACGUCUGCCUGGGUGUCACGCAGCGUCGCCAACGCCCAACACUCUGGGCGCGGCGGAUGAUGGCCUCCCGGGAGCCUCGCCUCCCGGCUGGCCGAAAGAGGGGCCCAACGUGACGACCGCCACGAUCCACGGUGGUUGAGUGAGAGACUCGCUCGAGGCCAAGGCGUGCGCGCGUCGUCUCACGGGGAGGGCCCGCCGGCAGGGGCAUCUGCCCCCCACUCGUACGCGACCCCAGGUCAGGCGGGGCUACCCGCUGAGUUUAAGCAUAUCAAUAAGCGGAGGAAAAGAAACUAACGAGGAUUCCCCUAGUAACGGCGAGCGAAC